rnacentral:misc_RNA from 1 species
GUGAAUCAUCGAAUUUUUGAACGCAAAUUGCGCCUUUUUCGAAAGGCAUGUCUGUUUGAGGGCCACAUUUAACAAAAAAUGCGCAGCGGUUUUUGUUGCACACGUUGAUGCGCUUUUCAAGAAUUUUAAAUUUUUGGUGGCGCAUAAUGAACAGAGUGAAGAUUUUUUUUCAGUGUGAGUGUAGUUAAAUCUUUGUUUGGGUUGAGAAAAGCGAAAUACUGCA